UCUCCCCUGCCAGUCUUGAUACUCUCCUGCAAGGAGCUACCUGCGAGUGGAGGUCAGGACAUAAUUUUGAGCUCUUGGCAUAAUUAUUUUGAUGAAGUGCAUCCCAAGAUGAGAGCCUCACUGAAGUCUAUUUGACAAGAACGCAGAGCAGUAAAGGGGAGAAGAAAGCUGUGUGUGCAGCUCAGAAGCCACAGAUAAAUGGGGUCUAUUCACAAGGCAGUGUGAAAAACGGGAGAGUGAUGGUAGCCAUUUUGCAAGGUGCGGGACUUAUGGACUCAUAAGUCUUUUAGAACUUGGCAAUUGUGCUUCAAAAUGAUGGAGAAAAAUGAGCAAGUGACUGCACACCAAAUGUAACCCACCUUUCUGAGAGCAGGAAGCAGGAGCCCACGCUCAUGCCUCAUGUGGCAUUUCUAUGCAUGAUCCAUCAUCUGGGCUGGGGAAUUCACAGGCCUUGGAAACCUCUGCAGAGCUUCAAAGGAUGUAAAGAUUGAGCUACAGCUUUGACAAUUUCUGAGCUCUUGCUGUGGCUGAGAUCAAGGAACCAUAGUUAAUCACCAAGGGGUUGGUGGAUGCUGCUGCCACUUCUCCACACAAAGCACCAAGGCCAACCCAGCCCAAAGCUAGAAGACCACAGGACCUGGGCAUAUUGACAGCUACUCAUGGGUCUGAAAAGAAGGAGUGUGUCCCAAGCACUGAAGAGGCUUCUGCAAGUCUCCUGUGCCUUCUGAACAUGCCUCAGGAAGCUGUUCUCCAGCUGUUACCUAGGAAUUUGAGAUUUAAGGCUUGAAGCUUAAAGACCAUGGAAUCACUGGCAUCUCAUUGGGAACUGAGACAGUGGAUAUGGACACGCUUUGAAAGAUGUAACAAA